ensembl:lncRNA
UGUAGGUUUACGAGACAUUUGCAAGUAAUCGCAAACUUAGUAUUCUAAAUCCCAGUUUGUCCAUUGCAGUAAAAUAUUUUAUGGUCUGAUUGGGGACACCUUCUUGAAUCAACAAAUAGUAAUUUACUGAAAACCACGAUCAGUGGGGCCACCAACAAACUGACCACACUCCAAUUCAUUACCACAUGGGCUGUAUGCUGUGUGUCAGUGUUUCACUCUGCCUGCCCUGUGUGUUUCUGAGUUUGAGAUGCAUGUCUGGACAUGUCUACUAUCUACUGGGUUAGGCAGAACUGAAGGUGUCCUGCUGGGACUAGGCUGUUGUGAGGAGAAUGGAGACAAUCUGAGGACUGCAGGGAGUGUGUGACUGGACAAUCUGAGGUUACUGCUUCAUCAGACACCAUCGCAUCAUCUGUAGAUUCUGCUAUUAGAAACUUUGGAGUGGCUGUCUGACCUCACAUGAGAACUGAGAAGACAGACAUCUCAGGCACACAUGAGGUGAGUUUAGUAAGCACUCAUUGGAAUACGUAGACUAUUUUACAUAAAUCUAUGGCACCGGAUUUUGUAAGAUAUGUUACACGACGUUAGGUUAUAUUACAAUGCGCUACCAAAAUGUAUAAUGUAUUAUGAAUUGGCAAAAACGUAUGAAAUGUUACGGACCCUACUAAAAUGUAUCAUAUGUUACGAAUUUGCACAAAACAUCCAAGCUGUGUUUCAAACCAGCGAUGUUCAGCUCUGCAUAAGGGCAUCCUACCCAUUGAUUCACACAGGGAUUAUCGAUUUGGAAGGACGAGUAAUUAGCACUGGGGCUAAGGUUAGGGAUAAAAUUUGGGGUAAGGUUUGAAAACAAAUAAGGUUAGGGUUAGGUAUCACAGCACUGGAGUUAAGGUUAGGGUUUGAAAGAAAAUCAUUUGUAACAUAUCGACCUUGUAGCACCAUUAGUCGCCACACCUAACAGGAAGUUCCUGUUUGGAGCAGUGGGUAGUGCAUCCAGGAAGUUCCUGUUUGGAGCAGUGGGUAGUGCAUCCGUCUGCGGUGCUGCAGGAUGCAUGUUUGAAACACAGGCUGCCAAUCGCUGCAUUUUUUCAGGAUUUUUACUCUAACGUUACUUCACCUAAUGUAAUACAUCUUAAGAAUUUGUCCAUCAAAGAUUUACACAAAUUAUUCUACGUAUUCCCAUGAGACCAGGUUGCAGUGCGACACCGGCACCACCCUGAUCACCAUACAGUGUGCUGCUUUCAAUCAAAGCCCUGUGGGUGGAUCACUGUUCAGUGUAAACCAGAGUGACUGGGAGGGCGGGGUCAUAUGAUCUAU